rnacentral:rRNA from 1 species
AUUGAACGCUGGCGGCAUGCCUUACACAUGCAAGUCGAACGGCAGCACGGAGCUUGCUCUGGUGGCGAGUGGCGAACGGGUGAGUAAUAUAUCGGAACGUACCCAAGAGUGGGGGAUAACGUAGCGAAAGUUACGCUAAUACCGCAUACGAUCUAAGGAUGAAAGUGGGGGAUCGCAAGACCUCAUGCUCCUGGAGCGGCCGAUAUCUGAUUAGCUAGUUGGUGAGGUAAAGGCUUACCAAGGCAUCGAUCAGUAGCUGGUCUGAGAGGACGAACAGCCACACUGGAACUGAGACACGGUCCAGACACCUACGGGAGGCAGCAGUGGGGAAUUUUGGACAAUGGGGGCAACCCUGAUCCAGCAAGGCCGCGUGAGUGGAGAAGGCCUUCGGGUUGUAAAGCUCUUUUGUCAGGGAAGAAACGGUGAAGGCUAAUAUCCUUUGCUAAUGACGGUACCUGAAGAAUAAGCACCGGCUAACUACGUGCCAGCAGCCGCGGUAACAC